AGAUUGAACGCUGGCGGCAUGCCUUACACAUGCAAGUCGAACGGCAGCACGGGAGCAAUCCUGGUGGCGAGUGGCGAACGGGUGAGUAAUACAUCGGAACGUGCCCAAUCGUGGGGGAUAACGCAGCGAAAGCUGUGCUAAUACCGCAUAAGAUCUACGGAUGAAAGCAGGGGAUCGCAAGACCUUGCGCGAAUGGAGCGGCCGAUGGCAGAUUAGGUAGUUGUGAGGUAAAGG
rnacentral:rRNA from 1 species